UACAGAGGGCGCGAGCGUUACUCGGAAUUACUGGGCGUAAAGCGCACGUAGGUGGCGACGUAAGUCGGGUGUGAAAGCCCCGGGCUCAACCUGGGAAUUGCAUUCGAGACUGCAUUGCUGGAGUACGGAAGAGGAGGGCGGAAUUCCCGGUGUAGCGGUGAAAUGCGUAGAUAUCGGGAGGAACAUCAGUGGCGAAGGCGGCCCUCUGGUCCAGUACUGACACUCAAGUGAGAAAGCGUGGGGAGCAAACAGG
rnacentral:rRNA from 1 species